UACAGGGGGUGCAAACGUUGUUCGGAAUUAUUGGGCGUAAAGCGCGCGUAGGCGGCUACUUAAGUCGGAUGUGAAAGCCCUUGGCUCAACUGAGGAAGUGCACCCGAAACUGAGUGGCUAGAGUACGAAAGAGGGUCGCGGAAUUCCCGGUGUAGAGGUGAAAUUCGUAGAUAUCGGGAGGAACACCGGUGGCGAAGGCGGCGACCUGGGUCGAUACUGACGCUGAUGCGCGAAAGCGUGGGGAGCAAACAGG
rnacentral:rRNA from 1 species